GCUCCCGAGUGUAAGAUUGUUUUCACAGAUACAGGCUUCUACUUUAGGUAGAAGACUUCCUGGCUCCAUCAGCUGAGCUCUCAGGAUUUGAGAUUUGCAUCGACAAGGGCACGUUCGAUGCUGUAAGCCUUAAUCCUGAGGAUGCAGUGGGAAAGAGGAAGCAGUAUGUGAGAUCUCUCUGCAGCACGUUGAAGCCAGGAGGCUUCUUCCUCAUAACAUCCUGUAACUGGACCAAGGAGGAGCUGCUGAGUGAGUUCAGAGAAGGAUUCGAAAUUCUGGAGGAGCUGCCAACACCCAAGUUUUGCUUUGGAGGAAGAGUUGGAAACAGUGUAACAGCAUUGGUUUUC